GGGAAAACACCUGUCCUAUGAUGACAUCAUUGAUGAUUUUGCCUCAAGAAAGUGCAGAAAAGGAAUAUUUUGAUGUUUCUUCUAGACAGUCCAAAUAGACUGGUGUUGCCCAUACUGAUGCCGAAAAUGCCCAGGCUGUAGAGAGAACCUAAGUUAAUCCCAAAAGCCAAAGCUCAGAGUUAUAAUUUAUUAUUUUCUUCUUAUUUAUGUUUACGUUAAUAUUCACUUACUUAAUAAUAUUCACUUGUUAUCUUAAUAUUCUAUAGGAAAUACUCUAUUCAAUAAAUAUUGUUUGUUUGAACCUCA